rnacentral:rRNA from 1 species
GUUUCCGUAGGUGAACCUGCGGAAGGAUCAUUACCGAGUGAGGGCCCUCUGGGUCCAACCUCCCACCCGUGUUUAUUUUACCUUGUUGCUUCGGCGGGCCCGCCUUCACUGGCCGCCGGGGGGCUCACGCCCCCGGGCCCGCGCCCGCCGAAGACACCCUCGAACUCUGUCUGAAGAUUGAAGUCUGAGUGAAAAUAUAAAUUAUUUAAAACUUUCAACAACGGAUCUCUUGGUUCCGGCAUCGAUGAAGAACGCAGCGAAAUGCGAUACGUAAUGUGAAUUGCAAAUUCAGUGAAUCAUCGAGUCUUUGAACGCACAUUGCGCCCCCUGGUAUUCCGGGGGGCAUGCCUGUCCGAGCGUCAUUGCUGCCCUCAAGCCCGGCUUGUGUGUUGGGCCCCGUCCUCCGAUUCCGGGGGACGGGCCCGAAAGGCAGCGGCGGCACCGCGUCCGGUCCUCGAGCGUAUGGGGCUUUGUCACCCGCUCUGUAGGCCCGGCCGGCGCUUGCCGAUCAACCCAAAUUUUUAUCCAGGUUGACCUCGGAUCAGGUAGGGAUACCCGCUGAACUUAAG